CAAACACUUGGUGGGCGAAUCUA
rnacentral:siRNA from 1 species